rnacentral:lncRNA from 1 species
UUUAAAGCAACAAAACUGGCAGUGCUGAGAGCAAAAACUAAAGCUGCCUUCCCUUCUUGCUUUCCUUCUAAAACAGACCCGAGUGAGUGAGAGAGAAAAGAGAGCAAGGUUGAGAGUGUGAGAACAAGUGCCUGGUGAGCUUCGUCAGUAACUAACCCAAAGACUGGAAAGAACAAACUGGAAAGGAAACUGAGUUCGUCUGCAUUUCCGAACACUUAAGACUAGAGGUAAGUGUGAAUAAUCACUUUCUGUUUAGUUGAUUUAAUCCGUUAAACAUAAGCUAUAUAUGUUGAGUUAGCUAAGAAUUAUUUCUGGUGCACUUGAGUACGUAUGUAGUAUGCUAGAUUCUAGUUAAGGAAAUUAAGUUCGGUUGCAGGAAAUCUUGCUUAGAACUGAUGGUCUGUCCUCUAGCCGAGAGAUAUGUAUGAAUUAAACUGAUAGCUAUCAGAGAAGGACAAAACAAAUAACUGGAAAUGUAGGAAACCUACUCACCUUGAAUAACAAAAACAGGUUACCCGUAGGAACUUGUAGGAAUUGGAAAUUUUGCAUGGAAGAAAUCUGAUGCAGGCUGCAUCAGUUUAACAGUCUUGCGCAGACCUGAGUUUUCAUUCAAUUUUCUUCUAAAUUCUGGCCAUAAUCUGCCAUGUUUUGCUUAGGAUAAUUUGUGGUGGAAUCAAUAUACUCCGUACGUGAUUAGCAUAUGAAGCUGAGGAGGAACUAAGAGGAAAAAAAUUGCUACUAACUUACUAUUGAAACCUGUUGGCUUCGACUGAGCAGAACAGUUAGGAAGUUCUAGAUAUCCCCUGCAACCCUUAGCUCUUAAAUCUGUGUAGUAAGCUGUAACAUAUCAUAAAGUCCAUAAACUUCAACAAGAAAGACAGAAACAAGUAGAAACUCAACUAAACAUUAAGGGAGGAAUGAGUGCAGGUAAAAGCAGAAUGUUGGCUGAGGGAGUGAAGCAGAAUAUGCUUCUGUCUGGCCUUUUUCGACCCUGAAAAUAUGAGAACUGGGUGUCGAUGUCUUCAUAAGAAAUGUAGGUCUAUAUCUUAGUUUCGAAACUCUAUAAAAUUUACCUCAAUCCGAUAAGUAUAGCUCCAGUUAUGAUCAAAACACCAGAGGGUGGCAAAGUUGCCUUUCUUGUUGCCUUUCUUUUAUUUCCCGAAUGCAUUUUUGCGAUAAUGCUAGCCAUGAGAAUCAACUUUUAACCAGCAUUUCAUCUAAUUUCCAACUUUGUAAGCUUUCAUAGAUGAUAGCUAAGGCUACUUUGUAGCUUAAUGAAUAUGAAUUGCCUAUCUAGUAAGAGCAUGAGAUUGAGAAGAAGGAGUGGAGGGAAUAAUGAGUGCUGGACCGUGUACAUUGCUAGAAAAAUUAGUGGUGAAUUUAUACGAAACAUCUCAUAGCAUUUUGACACUAACUAUAUGAACUAUUUUGAGAACUUAAAACUAGAAAACUAAUAAAUUUAACAAGACGUAAACCACAGGUAAUCUAGUAUUUGAUUUAACUUAAAAAGGAAGGAAUGAAAGGUCUAUUUAUUCUAACCUUAAAAUAUUGAGUAGAAAAUAGUUUAAUCCUAGUCCAAACAUUUUACAAAGCUAUAAACCUGAAAAUAUAUAUCUUUCUUGAUUGAAACGAAAAGUUAAUAAGUUCAAGAGAAAAUGCGGGAUAGGUUGUUGGAUUUGUUAUAUCUUGUUUUAUAAGCCAAACUUGACUUUAGUGGUUUACAAAAAUAAAAAGUCUCUUUAUCAUCAAAUCUGUGUGUGCUUUGUAAAAGGGAGGAAAAAAACAUAAACCAUCUAUUUUUAAUUGUUGUAUGACGAGACCAAUAUGGACAAAAGUGCAGAACAUGUGUCUGGUGUUCAGAGGAACUUACUCUUGGGAUGAGGAAAUUACCUGGUUAGCAUCUCAUUGGAGAUCCAAUUCCUUUGCAGACCACCUGAGAAGACUAGUUUUGGCUGCAACUGUCUACCACAUCUGGAGAUUUAGAAAUGAAGUAAUAUUUCAGUCAAAGCCGUUUGUAUGUUCACAACUACUAAAGUCUAUUAUAUAGUGGCGGAGCCAGAAAAAAUUCUUAGUGGGGGUAAAAGUAACACUAAAAUUUUUUACCUAUUCUUUUUUCUUGGUUUUUAAGCAAAAAAAAAAUUACCAACAAGUACAAAUGAUGCAUAUAUUCCAUGAAAACUAUAAAAAGACAAACUCAAAAUUAUUAAUGUAAUAAUAAUUUUAUUAGAAAAACAAACUAAACUAUAUACAAUUGUUCACGACAAAUUUUCAUAUUUUGAUAACAAUUUAUAACCUUCUCAUUUUGAACUUCACGAAGCAUAUUCUUCUCAAUGUAAGUAACUAAAAAAUUUUAGUUCAUUAACUAAUUUAGAAAACCAUGUAAUUCUUUCACAUCCUUUGUAAGAAAACUCUGGAGGCACACUUAAAAUUAUAUCAAACUUAUGUAGGUAUUAUAGGAAUUUAAGGGGGACAGUGGGGGCCGUGCCUCCCAGUGCCCCCACCUUAAAUCUGCCACUACUAUUUUAGAAGCAGUACGUUCUGUAGUUAAUGAUUGGUCAGGAUUCCCAAGAGCAAGACAAAAUUGGGAACUUGUAAUGGAAUGGGGAGUGGACUAGAAAUGCUUGUUUGUGUAGAGGUAUGUUUGAAUAUUGUAAAAAUAGUAAUAUGAGUGUGAGGACCUCAAAAAUUUCAUUAUCCUCUGGAAAAUUAAAUCAAAAUAUUAUUGAAAAUAUUAAAAUUAUCCAAUAAUAUGUAUUUAUAUUUAAAUAAUAUUGUUUUCAAUCAUUCAAAUGUUACAUUUCAAUUUAUUUGAAAUUUUAAGAUUUAAUUGACGGUUCGCGUUCGGCAAAGCCCUAAGUUGAAUUUUCGCGCACCGACGCGCGAAUUAGUCCUAAGUUGAAAUGUAGUAUAUGUAGAGGCUAUAAAAAGGUAUAAUUAAGUUGGAGAAAUGUUAGAUGAGGAAUGUGAGGACUCGCAAUUUAUUUCUUUUAAAUUCCCAUUCUGAGGUUAUUUAAUUAGUUAAUUGUUCAAUUAUUUCGAAUAUUAUUUUCUAGCCCUAUUGGAUCCAAUUCUAUAGCAUUAUAGCUCAUGAGUAAUUUUAAGGCAAUUAGUUCGCAAUUCAAGUCUUGAAAGUUAAGUGUGAAUAGUGCCCGUAGGCUCAGGAAUAGUAACUGACUUGAGAGUUCAUGAGCCCGAAUAAUGGGAGAUUUAUACCCUAGUCUUAAAAUAGGUAUUUUUAUGCCUAAAUAUCCAUGUAUUAGUUAGAAAUGCCAUCGUUAUAAGAAUUUCUCAAAAAUUUCACCUUAUCGCGCAUAAGUGGGAAAUACGCGUUUUACGUGCGCGAUUUAUUUGAAGGACUUUAGAACCUUAUUUUGAGGUCAUUAAGAGUGAAUGAUAAUUAGAUGAAUAUAUGUGCAUUAGAGGUUUAGUACACAGUUAAAACAAACCUCAGAGGAAACCGGCGCGAAACGCGCGCGCGAUACACUGUUCACGAUUGACUUGGGAGCACAAAAGUUGUACCACACUCAAGCUUCUCAAGGAAGCUUUCCAUUUCAGAUUUUGCCCUCCCUUUCCCCUCACCAUAACCGCCGGUCUCUACUCUCUCUCACACUCCAAAUUUCACAAUUUUUCCUCCACCAUUUUCUUGCUCCAAUUCACACCAAAUUCACCACACAAGCUCAAGACAACUUGGACAAUCACUUGGACAAAGUUCUUGGGGCUUUUGGGACACCAAAAUCUGACCUUUUAGCACACAAGUAAGGUAACCAUGAUCCACUCUUCAAUUCUCGUUCAAUGAAGGCCAACUCACACUUAAGAGCUUGAUUAUGCUUAUGGGUAGCUUAUUAUUGUUGGAAAUUGUUGAAUGUGGGCUCUAUGAACUCCCACCUUGAGUUGAUGGCUGUGAUGAUGUUUGAUGAUGGUUUUAUUGUUGAAUUAGUGCUUAAGGAAGUAGAUUAAAGGUGCAUUAUUGCUAGAAACUUCAUUGAGCUCUUGAAGCAAAAAGUUCCGAUUCUGCCCCUGCCAAGACCGACCUUUUUCAUGCGAAAUUCUGAGGUUUUAACGGCUUGUAUUUGAUGUUUAUGUGUUGUUGGAGUUGUGUGUAAAGUUUCAUUGAAAGAUAUUGAGGUUUGGUUGACCAAAGGUGAUGAAUUCCAAAACCAGCAAAAUCUGGAAAUUUUUCCAGUAUGGCUCAGGCAGCCAUUUUGUUUCGAUCAUAACUCUGCCCUCCGACAUCGAAAUUGAGUGCCGUUAGCGCCAUUAGAAACUAGACUCUUCCAGCUUUCCAACGGUGUAAAAUUUACAUCCUGGUUCCACUGAGUGAACCGUGACAGUCUUUUAAAGUCACCUGUCCUGCUCCACUGGUUCACUGGAAGCCAGGAUAUGAGCUGCGUUUUGUUGCCAGAUUUCGAGCUAGUUAUGAGUAGAAUUUUAAAACUAUUUCUUCUGAAAAAUUGUAUCCCUAUGAGUGUAGUUUCCAACGCUACCAACCAUGCUCAAAUCUAAGUUGAAUUGAAUGAGAUGUGACCAAACUACGAAAACUGCUCUGCUGUUGAACCAAACUGUCCAAAUUUUCCCAGUUUGUGUUCGAGUUUUUGAUCUGAUUCUUGACAAGAAAUUGAGCUUCAUGGAUUGUGUAAAUGUUAAGCUGAAUGUCUAUGGUCAUUUGAGGGAAAAUGCACCACUUUCGUAGUUGAAAUGAUGUUGAGGAAUUGAAGGAAAAGGAAGGUAUAUGCUGUCCAAAAAAUUCUGGAAAUUUUGGGGGUCAAUUUUGACAAAUUUUUGAACUACUUGGGUUGUAUACAUGUUAACCUAUAUGGGUAGUAUUGUUUGGGUGAAAAUGUAGCUUUUGGGUAGUUGAAAAAUUUUGGAUAAAUUGAAGGGGAAAUGGACUACUUGCUACCGAAUGCGCACCUGAAAUUUUUCCAGCUUUGAAUGAUAAUUGUGAACUGUUUUCACGAUAACUUGAGCUCAAAUGAUUUGUGUAUUAAUUAAGGGGUUUGUAUAGCUCAAUUUGGGACAAAAAUCUAGUAGAGGUUACGUCCAAAAAGUGGACCAAAAUCUUAUUCUUCAAGAAGAUACCAAAACAGAAUUUUUGUUUGAAAUUAGAAAUGGUUUGAUGUUUGGAUUUCAUUGUGGGUAAAUGUGGACCAAAGUUGUCCCGAAAAUGUUUUCUAGCAUUAACCGUUGUUGCUAGGUCCACUUUGAGUUGAUAACCUUGAAUUUUAUUAGACCAAAUGCCCUAUUUUGAGGAAUUUGUCAAAUCUGGAAAUUUUCCUAAAAACUCAAGUUUUUGCCUUCAUGAAAAUCAUUGGACUAAGUUGGUCAUGGAAUUUGGCAAACUUAAGGAGUUUCUAUUUUAUAGAAAUUCUAACGACUAGUUUUACUUGGUUUAUAUGAUUGCCUCUUAAAGGAAUUUCCCAAGAUAUGUUUGGGAAAAAUUUGAGGGGAAAAUUCCUCUAAAUGGUUUAAAUAUGAUUUUUCUCAACUUGUGACACCAAAUUGGUGUUAAAUGGCUUAUAUGAUUCUAGAACUUGGAUGUUGGAAUAUUUGACGAAUUUAGCAAGUUUUUGGGUUUUAAAGAAACCUCAAAAUUUAAUUUCACUCGAUUUGUGGAUUUCACUUUGAGAAAACGAUUAAUACUAGUUUGGGAUUUUUGAGUGAAAUUAAAUGCUCGUUGACUCGAGUUAAAUUCGCCAACUCAAAAGUGGAAAUUUAUGUGAAUUAUUUGUAUGAUUUUAGGAGUUGGUGAAGAGCACAAUCUCGAUCAAAGUUUGGAAUUCUAGACACUUCACUUGAGGUGAGUGUCUCUUGCAUGAAUCGUGUUUAACUGCUAGUUGAACUACUUGUUAAAAGUACUUGCUAGAGAUAUCAUGAAAUGUUAUAUGCUAUGUGAUUGCGUGAAAUGCCACAAGUACAAGUGUUGCAAGGUCGAUUGGAGCGUGGUCUCGUCGACUAAAUAAACCAAACGGAUGUACGUACCACGCUCUAUUAGAGUGGGAGGUACCUCUCUGCCGUCUUGGUAAAAGUGCUUGCAAAAUUCGUGUUGGAGUCGGGCCCGAAAAUAAGGGGGAAGUCGUUGCUAGGAGACGUGUAGAUUAGGGAAAAUGUCUACAUGGAGAUUAGGUAGUGAAAGUUGACGGAGUGUCAACUAUUAUAAAUUACCUGAUCAAGCGCGAGGACUUUGGCUCCUGAGAGCCCCGUAUCCUUUUCUUGUCAUGUUACUUCAUUUUGCUAAAUUGUUAAUUGCUUACUUGUCCAUUUGUACUUGUUAAAUUGCUCUAUGUGAAUUGCAUGUUUCGAGACACCACUGAGCUAUUGGCUCAUCCCUUCCAAAUUGUUUUCCUUGACAGGUUUGAAAUGCAUGAAGUCUUGGAGAACUAGAACAGAAAUGUUAUAUUUUGAAUGCCCACUUUUGUAAUUGUACUUUUGGAAACGUUAGUAUCUUUUGGAUGAUUUUUGUGUUUUUGGGAGAAUGUGAAUCCUGUGGUGCUUCUGUGCCCUGGAUUAGAAACUUUAAAUUGUAAAUUAAGUUGAAUUUAAGUAUACUAAGCUCGACGUUUUCGUUGGUACUUGGAAUUGUGUUUUGGGUUGUAUAAGUUGAAUUGUAUGAAUUAUUUAAGUACGUGACUUGCUCGAGAAGUAAGGUUUAUUCUCGAUUUAUAUUUGGUGAAAUUAGUUACUAGAGUGCGUGAGUCCUAGCGAGAGUUAGGCAGGCGACCCGCCAACCCUUUGGUUCGCCUUAGGGAGAAGUGGGGCCGCCACAAUGAGGAGGGAUGAUUGCUUAUGUAUGCAAGCUCCACUACAGUAAUCAAUAAAAAUAUUUAUCAUUUGCUCAAAAAAAAA